rnacentral:rRNA from 1 species
CAAUAGCGUAUAUUAACGUUGUUGCAGUUAAAAAGCUCGUAGUUGGAUCUCUGGAGGGAGCGUCGGCCCGUAUUUACGAGUGCGUGACGUCUCUGUCCAUCCUUGCGGGAAGGCACGGCAUUGAUUUGUUGUGUCGGAUCGCAUCAUUUACUGUGAAAAAAUUAGAGUGUUCAAAGCAGGCUUUCGCUUGAAUACAUUAGCAUGGAAUAAUAAGAUAGGACUUUGGUGCUAUUUUGUUGGUUGAGCCUAAAGUAAUGAUUAAUAGGGAUAGUUGGGGGCACCUGUAUUGCGUUGUCAGAGGUGAAAUUCUUGGAUUUACGCAAGACAAACAGCUGCGAAAGCGUCUGCCAAGGAUGUUUUCAUUNA